rnacentral:rRNA from 1 species
AAUCAACGCUGGCGGCGUGCCUCAGACAUGCAAGUCGAACGAGAAAGUUCCCUUCGGGGAAUGAGUAAAGUGGCGCACGGGUGAGUAACACGUAGGUAAUCUACCUUCGGGUGGGGAAUAACCCAGGGAAACUUGGGCUAACACCGCAUAAUGCAGCGGCACCACAUGGUGACAGUUGUUAAAGCGGGGGAUUUUCGGACCUCGCGCCUGGAGAGGAGCCUGCGGCAGAUUAGCUAGNGGUAAGGUAACGGCUUACCAAGGCGACGAUCUGUAGCCGGCCUGAGAGGGGCGGUCGGCCACACUGACACUGACAUACGGGUCAGACUCCUACGGGAGGCAGCAGUCGGGAAUUUUGGGCAAUGGGCGAAAGCCUGACCCAGCAACGCCGCGUGAAGGAUGAAAUCCCUCGGGGAUGUAAACUUCGCAAGAAUGGGAAGAAUUAGUAGGGGCUAAUACCCUCUAUGAUG